GCGCAGGUGGCGAAAUUGGUAGACGCACCACUUUGAGGGGUGGCGGGCAACCGUGCGAGUUCGAGUCUCGCUCUGCGCA
rnacentral:tRNA from 1 species